rnacentral:rRNA from 1 species
UACUAGAGUAGCACUCGCAUAUCAAUAAGCGGAGGAAAAGAAACUAACAAGGAUUCCCCUAGUAACGGCGAGUGAAGCGGGAAGAGCUCAAAUUUGAAAUCUUAAAGGGUUUCCCUUUACGAAUUGUAGUUUAAAGAAGUGUUUUCUGUUGAGGCUUUGGUAAAAGUUCCUUGGAAUAGGACAUCAUAGAGGGUGAGAAUCCCGUAUUUGACCUUUACUUUCAACUUUGUGAUACACUUUCAAAGAGUCGGAUUGUUUGGGAAUGCAGUCCAAAAUGGGUGGUAAAUUUCAUCUAAAGCUAAAUAUUGGCGAGAGACCGAUAGCGAACAAGUACCGUGAGGAAAGAUGAAAAGAACUUUGAAAAGAGAGUUAAACAGUACGUGAAAUUGUCAAAAGGGAAGCGUUUGACACCAGUGUUGUUUUUCUGAAAAUCAAUUAAAGAACUGUUUAUGCUAAGUUGUUUAGACUUUAUCAGCUAUCUGUUUAGUUUUGAGCUUUUCUUUAAUGCACUUUUCAGUUAACAAGUCAACAUCAAUUUCUUUUGCUGUAAAAAAGCUUGAGGAAGGUGGCUUGAGAUUCGUCUUAAGUGUUUAUAGCCUCUUGCCUAUGCAGUCGGAGAGAUUGAGGUCUGCAGCGUAGAUCCUUCGGGGCUAAAUGCAUUUGUGCUAAGUUAUAGCAUUUUAUAGACAACUUGUUGACUAUGAUUUGUCUUGUAGCUUACCCGCUUAUGUUAUUUUACCUACGCUUAGGAUGUUGAUAUCGCGCUCUCACUG